rnacentral:rRNA from 1 species
UACGGAAGGCAGCAGUGGGGAAUAUUGCACAAUGGGCGAAAGCCUGAUGCAGCUAUGCCGCGUGUAUGAAGAAGGCCUUAGGGUUGUAAAGUACUUUCAUCGGGGAGGAAAAACAAAACUAAUAAUUUUAUUUCUUGACGUUACCCGAAAAAGAAGCACCGGCUAACUCCGUGCCAGCAGCCGCGGUAAUACGGAGGGUGCUAGCGUUAAUCAGAAUUACUGGGCGUAAAGAGCACGUAGGUGGUUUUUUUAAGUCAGAUGUGAAAUCCCUGGGCUUAACCUAGGAAUUGCAUUUUGAAACUGAAAUACUAGAGUAUCGUAGAGGGAGGUAGAAUUCUAGGUGUAGCGGUGAAAUGCGUAGAUAUCUGGAGGAAUACCUGUGGCGAAAGCGGCCUCCUAAACGAAUACUGACACUGAGGUGCGAAAGCGUGGGGAGCAAACAGGGAUUAGAUACC